AGGCCAGCCUCGCCGAGGGCCCCUCCCCUUCCCGCAGCUCCCGCGCCAGCACGAGGGAGCGGGUGCCGGAGCUGGGGAUGCUCGGCCGGUGCAGGAGAAUCUGUCAUUGUGUCCGGCCUGCCUACGGUGGCUCUGGCCAAAGCUUUGACUGUGUCCAACCUGGUUAUGCCCUGCUUGGCCUCAUCCGAUGUUGGCAAAGCCACGUUUGAGUUCCCCGUGGUCAAAAGCUUGACACUUUCCUGCUUGUCUGAUGCUGCAGUUACCAAAUUCGGAACCUGGCCUGACUUGGUUGUCACUGCUCUAGCUAAAUCCCUGGCUGUGCCUGCUGCAAUUGAGUCUGUCACUUUUCCUGACUUGGAUACUACAGAUCCCCAGGCACAAGCAUUACCACCUAGCCUUCCUACAGAGUGGAUGUUGACCUACUUGACCACGAGUCAGCCCAGAUCCAGGGAAGUGAAGCUGCUGAAUUCAAAGUCAAGGGCAAGACUGGGCAGAUGAGACUCAAGCUGUAACCAGGAUUCUCCCCACAUCCUGCCCCCUAGGGGCUGUAGAUAGGCUUAGCUGGUAAGAUGCCUCCUUCAGCUCGGAUUCCAUGGACACCGAUGGCUUUCAUCUCAAAAGGAUAAUACAGCCCUCAGGACCCAGGGGUGCAGAAGAGGCAUUGAGGACCGGGUUCCCCAGGGUCUAUUCCCAGGAACCCAAGGAGAGAAAAGGAGGCUCUGGGUGAGGUGGCUCUGGGACCCUCAGUCCCCUAAACAUGCCACCAUGCUACCUGCUCUGCAGGUGUAGUGGGUCCUUCCCGACCUAUGUGGUUAAGGAGGAGUUGAGGAUCCCUGGGAUUUUUAACCUUCAAGUACACCAGGGACAAGAAGCCCAUUACGCCUAUAGGUCUUUUUGCAAUUAUUGCAUUGUAUGUUAUCCCUCUAUUAUAUCUGUGUACCAUGCUGUGGAGGUCAGAGAUCAACUUGCAUGAAUCGGUUCUCUCCACCAUGUGGGUUCCAGGAAAUGAACUGAGGUUAUUAGGUUUCAGACAGCAGUACCCUGACCAGCUCAUUGGACCAAUUGAUGCUAGGGACGGAACCCACCACCUCACACUCACUAAGUGUGGGCUCUGCAUCACCACACCUGGCUUAUGUAGCAGCUUCCUUUCAGUGAUGCGAUUUUGAAAACUUCACUAUGUAGCUCUGCCCAUCCCAGAACUCACUAUGUAGCCCAUAC